UACGUACGAGGCGAGCGUUAUCCGGAAUUACUGGGCGUAAAGCGCGCGCAGGCGGACCAUUAAGUUGGGCGUGAAAUCUCCCGGCCUAACUGGGAGGGGUCGCCCAAGACUGGUGGUCUUGAGGACAGCAGAGGUGGGUGGAAUUCCUGGUGUAGUGGUGAAAUGCGUAGAGAUCCGGAGGAACACCAAAGGCGAAGGCAGUGUCCUGGGGAGUACCUGACGCUCAGGUGCGAAAGCCAGGGGAGCGAACGGG
rnacentral:rRNA from 1 species